GAUGAAGAACGCAGCGAAAUGCGAUAAGUAACGUGAAUUGCAGAAUUCAGUGAAUCAUCGAAUCUUUGAACGCACAUUGCGCCCGCCAGUAUUCUGGCGGGCAUGCCUGUUCGAGCGUCAUUUCAACCAUCAAGCCCCCGGCUUGUGUUGGGGACCUGCGGCUGCCGCAGGCCCUGAAAUGCAGUGGCGGGCUCGCUGUCACUCCGAGCGUAGUAGUUACAUCUCGCUCUGGGCGUGCUGCGGGUUCCGGCCGUUAAAAGCCUUAUUUACCCAAGGUUGACCUCGGAUCAGGUAGGAAGACCCGCUGAACUUAAGCAUAUCAAUAAGCGGAGGA
rnacentral:misc_RNA from 1 species